CUGGCACAUCAUCUAACACAUCACCUAGCACACAAGACAUGCUGAACCAAGGUUUGCCAUCAUUCUUCUCAAAGCCCACACACAGCUAGAGGGUUGAGAGCAAGGCUGCCAACCCUGGUUGUUUAAUUCUGCUCAUAAAGCUUCUGUAUGUUCCAUCUGCAAAAACUAAAUUCAGAGAAAAAUAACUGGAAAUAGAAAAGGGUGGUCAAGGAGAACACCAGAGCCAGAAGGAGGCGAAGACCAGUUCCUUGUGUAUCUGGAACUUGCCCUAUAGGGGUUCUUUGCCUCCUAUACCAGGCCCUGGAGGAAAAUCUGUUUGGUUGUAGAACCCCAGAGUCAACCCCCAAGCAUCCCCGGAAGAAAAGUACACUUUGA
rnacentral:lncRNA from 1 species